rnacentral:rRNA from 1 species
UACGGGGGGAGCAAGCGUUGUUCGGAAUUACUGGGCGUAAAGGGCGCGUAGGCGGCCUGCUAAGUCGAACGUGAAAUCCCUGGGCUCAACCCAGGAACUGCGUCCGAUACUGGUUGGCUUGAAUCCGGGAGAGGGAUGUGGAAUUCCAGGUGUAGCGGUGAAAUGCGUAGAUAUCUGGAGGAACACCGGUGGCGAAGGCGACAUCCUGGACCGGUAUUGACGCUGAGGCGCGAAAGCCAGGGGAGCAAACGGG